GGCGGCGUGACACGGGCGGCUUUCCUAACGAGGAAGAAAGCCCUGACAGGUGGGCCCCACCUGUCAGUGGCUGUGGGCGCGCGCACAGGCCGGUUCGGCUAGGGCGGUUCGGGCGCGGUCGGUUCUGGGUCGGUUCGGCCCAAGCGGUCGGACCUGUCCGGUUUCCCUUUUUUUUCUUUUCUUUUUCCCUUUUUCUCAUUUCUUUGAUAACUUUUGUAAAAUCAUGUUCCAUCAUGAUACAACUUUUGGGAGUAAUUUCUCCUCAAAAUAAAAUAUAUAAAAAUACAUUUGCUCUAUAAAUGCCUUUAGGGCUAUAUAACUAUUUAAAUAAAAUAGUUUUUUUUUCAUCUCCAAAAAUUAUCCAACAAUUAUGGGAUAGCUUAUUUAUGCAAUAAACCCUUUUUAUAAAUAAACCUUAUUGGUUUGAAGAUCCAAAGCUCAAAUGGGUGUAAACCCUAGGGUUUAAAUUGAAAUAAAAUCUCUUAAAGCCUUUUGAGAUUCAAAUUUGAAUUCAAAUAUGCAAUUAUGGCAUGAUGCUCUUGGGUGCAGUGCAUAUGAAAGGUUUGAAAUUUUGGGAUGUUACAGACCUAACCCCCUUAAGAUGAAUCUCGUCCUCGAGAUUCGGUGUGGGUAGCAAAGAGGUGUGGGUGGUCUUCUCGAAGAUCAUCUUCGCGCUCCCAAGUGGCUUCUUCUUCAGUGUGAUGGUCCCACUGAACUUUGCAAAACCUGAUGGUCUUGGAUCGGGUUUGUCUCUCAGCUGUAUCCAAGAUUCUGAUCGGUUUCUCCUCAUAGGUGAGGUCACUUUGCAGUUGGACUUCUUCUAGGGGUAUCGUAACCCUUAGUGGUGUGUCGGCCAUCUCAGGAUGACACUUCUUCAGUUCCGAUACAUGGAAGACGUUGUGGACAUUUGAAG
rnacentral:lncRNA from 1 species